rnacentral:rRNA from 1 species
AGUCAACAUGCCCAGGGGACGUGGAUAACCUCGGGAAACUGAGGAUAAACCGCGAUAAGUCACUGCUUCUGGAAUGGGCAAUGACUUAAAUCUAUAUGGCCCCUGGAUUGGACUGCGGCCGAUCAGGCUGUUGGUGAGGUAAUGGCCCACCAAACCUGUAACCGGUACGGGCUCUGAGAGUAGGAGCCCGGAGAUGGGCACUGAGACAAGGGCCCAGGCCCUAUGGGGCGCAGCAGGCGCGAAACCUCUGCAAUAGGCGAAAGCCUGACAGGGUUACUCUGAGUGAUUUCCGUUAAGGAGAUCUUUUGGCACCUCUAAAAAUGGUGCAGAAUAAGGGGUGGGCAAGUCUGGUGUCAGCCGCCGCGGUAAUACCAGCACCCCGAGUGGUCGGGACGUUUAUUGGGCCUAAAGCAUCCGUAGCCGGUUCUGCAAGUCUUCCGUUAAAUCCACCUGCUUAACAGAUGGGCUGCGGAAGAUACUAUAGAGCUAGGAGGCGGGAGAGGCAAGCGGUACUCGAUGGGUAGGGGUAAAAUCCGUUGAUCCAUUG